GGCCGGUUUUUAACCCCCUAAUGGAAAAGCCCCUACCCGGGGUCGAGUGUGUUGGGAAAGUAAGGAUUUCUGGGCUGUAGCGCACUAUGCCGAUCAAGUGUCCGCACUAAGUUCAGCAUCAAUUUGGUUACCUCCCCGGGAGCGGAGGACCACCAGGUUGUCUAUGGAGGGGUGAACUGGCCCAGGUCAGAAACGGAGCAGGUCAAAACUCCCAUGCUGAUGAGUAGUGGGACUGCGCCUGUCAAUAACCAUUGCACUCCAGCCUGAGCAACUUAGCAAGACCCUGUCUCUU
rnacentral:SRP_RNA from 1 species